CGGCUGCUGCUGCAUGGCCUGCAUUGCUUCGGUGAGGCCCUUGACCUGCUGAACCAACAAGUCGAACUGCUCCAUGCCGACUGUCAUUGUCGGAGGAGGAGCCUGGAAAACUGGAGAUGAGGCCGGAGCUUGCGGAUCUCACUGAGAUCUGACCAUGGAGGCCGUAGAUCACCUGGUGGAUGCCUUUCGGGGAGGCAUCAAGUGAGGAUCUGGCAGGAGAAGAAGAAGAAAAUAUCAAAGAAGAUGAUCGAAGACAGUCCCGUUGAGUACUCCUUUAAGAACAAGGGUCCUGCGAAGACACAGGCCCUUCCUCUAGCACCAAUUCUGUUGGUGCAGAAUUCUGCCGACGUCGGAGAAGCUGG
rnacentral:lncRNA from 1 species